CGUUUCACGGCGGAGUGCAGACAUGGCAGUGACAGUCACCCUCCCUCCCUCUCGCUGCGCAGCUCAGUUUCACGGCGGCGUCUAGCUGGAGCAAUUGUGGCGUCGAGCGAACAUCGACAGAGUUUGAAGGGUCUUUUUUCUUUUCAUACGCGAUUGGGCUUCAUUUAUGGGCCGCAACGGUUUUAGGCAUUGCUGUGCAGCUUGCCACGUUCCAGCUGCGUGCCAUCGGAUGAGGCAUCGACGGGCGCUAGACAUCGACGUCCCUCUGCAGUAGUUGCUGCUACGUUAGAGGAUCUCGUUCCUCCAACGAAGGGAACGCCGGCGGGGAAGGAGCAGGACAGAUCCGGCACAGACUGCUAAUAGGAACUCCAAAAGGAGAUGGAGCUUAAUCCCAAUCGCAAGAGUGAUCUACAACAUACGUCGACAAGAGAGAUGGCUCAGUGAUUAACCCAUCUGGCUGGUUAACCGCAUCCGUACAUGAAGAUGCAAUCUGUUCUUUGUGUUCUUGAGCAGCUUUGGGAGGAGGAGGAAUUAGCAAGGAUGAGCGGCAGUGGCAAUAUGCUUGCGUGAGUGAGAUGCCAUGUGGUUUCGUAAGUGAGCACUAGGCAUGUCUGAUGUAAAAAGGGUGUUGAUUAAAGAGACCAUAGUGCUUUAACAUAAUCUUGGCACAAAUUACCUAUC